UACGGGGGGGGCAAGCGUUGUUCGGAAUUACUGGGCGUAAAGCGCGCGUAGGCGGACCUGCAAGUCGGGGGUGAAAGCCCGAGGCUCAACCUCGGAACUGCCUUCGAUACUGCGGGUCUCGAGUCCGGGAGAGGUGAGUGGAAUUCCUAGUGUAGAGGUGAAAUUCGUAGAUAUUAGGAAGAACACCAGUGGCGAAGGCGGCUCACUGGCCCGAUACUGACGCUGAGGCACGAAAGCGUGGGGAGCAAACAGG
rnacentral:rRNA from 1 species